GUAAUUUAUUAACUAUAAAAGAAAGUUUACAGGAUGGAUAGGAGUGGAAAUGAGUACAUGAGGGGGACAGCUCAGACUGAGCGUUUGGAGAAGUUAGAGAGGAAAGGCGGAGAUGUUUUGGACAUGUGCAGAGGAGGGAUGGCGGGUGUAAUGAAGUUGGAGCUGCCAGACAGGAGGGGAAGAGGAAGACCCAGAGAAAGUUUAUGGAUGCAGAGGAUUUGUGUGACAGAAGAUGCUAGGGAUAGGGAAGGAAGGAGAUAAUCUGCUGUGGUGACUCCUAAAUGGGUUUAAAAAUAGAAAAAAGAUAAACACUGUGCUGCUGUGUUGAAAGGGGUGGUGGUGGGGUGGUAAAGCUUUUUUUUUUUUUUAAAUGGGAGUGUAUGGGGUCUGUCUCAAUUUUUAAGCAGUUGUACGUACAGUGAGGGAAAUAAUUAUUUGAAUGUAAAGAGCGAGGACUCUGUGUGGACAGUGGGGGAAUCCCCUGUUGAAUUUGUAUUGAACAGUCUCUAAUUGUUAUAAUAGUUUCAUUAUAGCAGAGAGAGAGAAAGAAUAUUAACCAAAAAUCCACAAAAAAAUACAUUACAUAAAAGAUAUAAGUCGCUUUGCAUGUCAUUGAGUGAAAUAACUCAACCGGAAUUCCCAGAUUGGCUGUGUGUCAUACAAUUAGUCAAUUACAGAUACUCUUACUGAUUGCAGCUUAUUUUGUGUAUAAAGCACACGUCCUCACAAUGAUUUUUCCCCCUCCACCAUCAUGGGAAAGACCAAAGAGCUGUCAAAGGACAUCAAGAAGCAGACCGUUGACCUGCACAAGGGUGGAAUGGACUACAAGACCACCAGCAAGAAGCUUGGUGAGAAAAUGACAAAUAUUGGUGUGAUUAUUUGGAAAUGAAACAAAUAAAAAUGACCACCAAUUGCCCUCAGUCUGGAGCUCCAUGCAAGUUCUUGCCUCAUGGGGUUAGAAUGAUCAUGAUAAAGGUGGCGGAUCAGCCCCAAACUGGGAGGUAACACACAAUGCAAGGUCCACAAGGUCCCUCUGCUCAAGAAGGAACAUGUACAGGAUGAUCUUAAAUUUGCCAGAGACUGCUGUGGUCAGAUGAAACCAAAAUCACACCACCCCCACACUUAAGCACGGAGGAGGAAACAUGCUUUGCAGCUGUUUUUCUAUUAAGGGUUCAAAAUCCUGAACAAGAACCUCCUUCUCUCAGCCAGAACACUGAAGAUGACUCACAGAUGGGUCUUCAAGCUGUUACACCCCGGCCUAGGCAACCGGGGUGCAACGUAGAAAAACAAAAAUAAGGAAAAUAAAAAUAAGAAAAAACUAAUACGGGUUUCCGCCAAAAUCAUCCCAAAACGAAAGUAUCAACAACUAAUUUCUUUAAAGCAAAACACAAUAUUUAUUUACAUCACACACAAGGCGCCAAACUAUUUACAACGGGGGGAAGAAGAUCGCGACCAUGACAUACAGAAACACAGGGCUUAAAUACAUGGAGGGAGCAAUCAGGGAAUGGACAACAGGAGGGAAACACAGCUGGGACAAAUCAGAACUGACGAGACAGGGAAACGUAAACUGAACACACUAAGAUAACAUAGACUUUCAAAAUAAAGUAGGAAACACAUAACAGUCACACAAAAACAAUACAAUACCAACGCCAAAUCGUAACAUACCCCGGAGGAGCACCUAGACACUCAAAUCCACACACAAUUACGGUCACAGUCGUAACAAAGCAUAAGAAUGACCCAAAACCAAGGUAACAAAAGAGUGGCAGAAGAAAAAUGUACCUCACUGUGCACUGACAUCCACACGCUUCUUAGACCAUUGUGAUAUGGAAAGCAAACCACAAGUGAAUUAACACAUAUGAGAUCCUUAAAUUAUUGAAAGCAUGCCCAGUUACCCAUCGCUUUGG
ensembl:lncRNA